AUCCACCAGGUUUCUUUGAAGAGGCGCUGUCCUUCUGUCCACCAUGUGCCGGAUUCCAGUACUGAAAUCCUGAGGUUUCGUGGAUCAUGGUGUGAGAAGUGCUCAUAAAGGGAGGCAUGGAUGAGGAGAUCUUGGAGGUUUUUAUUCCUCCUAUUGGCCGAAAUCACCCGGAAGUGGGUCAAUGGCAGUACGUGGUCUUGGGUCUUCCUGAAGUUCCUUUUGACAGCGGAGAUGAGGAUCCUAGAGGCCGGGGAGAAGGUGGCCACAAAGGGGACCAGGUGGUGAGUAGACUUCUGUUCUGUUCUUUGAGUUUGGAACUGCUGGUUCACUUCUUUCGCGAUGUUGCGGAGAAAUGUACGGCUAUAUCCCCUGCGCAACAGCGCUUGGAAGAGUGUUUUAGUGGCCGACCGAACAUCCAGCUCUGCUGCACAGAUCCUGUGGAAUCUGAUCAGCUGCGAUUUUACGAUGCCUCGAAAAGUAUGUUUCGGAUGGUAACUGGAUCUGUGCAGCAGGGCAUGGGUGUCGGUCGGUUUGAAGUAAACCCUAGUUCCAAGUCUGUGUCUCCCCUUGUCCCCUGGAAUGAUGUAAACUUCUGUGUCUAGAAACUCUAUUUUUUCUGUUUGUAGAUUGUAUUUGACAGAGAUGGAGGGAUGGUGAUUAUUGAGAAUGGAAAUGAAUGUCUCAAAGUCCUCCACUGAAUGUUCCCAGAUACCAAAGAUGUCGUCCAGGUACCUGGCAUAGAAGGUCCUCCACAAUUUCCCGGAUUUGAAUCUGGGUCUGGAGUUGUAGAGGUUGUGCCAGAGGU